rnacentral:tRNA from 2 species
GCGGGUGUAACUCAGUUAGUAGAGUGUCAGCUUCCCAAGCUGGAUGUCGCGGGUUCAAGCCCCCUCGCCCGCU